GAUGAACGCUAGCGGCAGGCCUAACACAUGCAAGUCGAGGGGCAGCAUAAGAAGUAUUUCGGUACUUUUGAUGGCGACCGGCGGACGGGUGCGUAACGCGUAUGCAACCUACCUUUUACAGGGGGAUAACGGAGAGAAAUUUCCACUAAUACCCCAUAACAUCAUUUAAGGCAUCUUAUAUGGUUGAAAACUCCGGUGGUAAAAGAUGGGCAUGCGUUGUAUUAGUUAGUUGGUGGGGUAACGGCUCACCAAGGCAACGAUACAUAGGGGGACUGAGAGGUUAGCCCCCCACACUGGUACUGAGACACGGACCAGACUCCUACGGGAGGCGGCAGUGAGGAAUAUUGGUCAAUGGGGGCAACCCUGAACCAGCCAUGCCGCGUGCAGGAAGACGGCUCUAUGAGUUGUAAACUGCUUUUAUACAGGGAUAAAUCGGGGGACGUGUCCUCUGUUGAAGGUACUGUAUGAAUAAGGAUCGGCUAACUCCGUGCCAGCAGCCGCGGUAAUACGGAGGAUCCGAGCGUUAUCCGGAUUUAUUGGGUUUAAAGGGUGCGUAGGCGGAAUGUUAAGUUAGAGGUGAAAUGCGGUGGCUCAACCAUCGAACUGCCUCUGAUACUGGCAAUCUAGAGAUUAGAUGCUGUGGGCGGAAUGUGUGGUGUAGCGGUGAAAUGCUUAGAGAUCACACAGAACACCGAUUGCGAAGGCAGCUCACAAAUCUACUUCUGACGUUGAGGCACGAAAGCGUGGGGAUCAAACAGGAUUAGAUACCCUGGUAGUCCACGCAGUAAACGAUGAUAGCUCGUUGUCGGCGAUACACAGUCGGUGACUUAGCGAAAGCGUUAAGCUAUCCACCUGGGGAGUACGUUCGCAAGAAUGAAACUCAAAGGAAUUGACGGGGGCCCGCACAAGCGGAGGAACAUGUGGUUUAAUUCGAUGAUACGCGAGGAACCUUACCCGGGCUUGAAAGUUAAUGACGAAUCUGGAAACAGAUUUUCCCUUCGGGGCAUGAAACUAGGUGCUGCAUGGUUGUCGUCAGCUCGUGCCGUGAGGUGUCGGAUUAAGUUCCAUAACGAGCGCAACCCUUGCCGUUAGUUGCCAUCAAGUUAAGUUGGGCACUCUAGCGGGACUGCCGGUGUAAACCGCGAGGAAGGUGGGGAUGACGUCAAAUCAGCACGGCCCUUACGUCCGGGGCGACACACGUGUUACAAUGGUCGGUACAGAGGGCAGCUACCCAGUGAUGGGAUGCGAAUCUCGAAAGCCGAUCUCAGUUCGGAUCGGAGGCUGAAACUCGCCUCCGUGAAGUUGGAUUCGCUAGUAAUCGCGCAUCAGCCAUGGCGCGGUGAAUACGUUCCCGGGC
rnacentral:rRNA from 1 species